rnacentral:rRNA from 1 species
AAGUAAAAGUCGUAACAAGGUCUCCGUAGGUGAACCUGCGGAGGGAUCAUUACACAAAUAUGAAGGCGGGCUGGAAUCUCUCGGGGUUACAGCCUUGCUGAAUUAUUCACCCUUGUCUUUUGCGUACUUCUUGUUUCCUUGGUGGGUUCGCCCACCACUAGGACAAACAUAAACCUUUUGUAAUUGCAAUCAGCGUCAGUAACAAAUUAAUAAUUACAACUUUCAACAACGGAUCUCUUGGUUCUGGCAUCGAUGAAGAACGCAGCGAAAUGCGAUAAGUAGUGUGAAUUGCAGAAUUCAGUGAAUCAUCGAAUCUUUGAACGCACAUUGCGCCCUUUGGUAUUCCAAAGGGCAUGCCUGUUCGAGCGUCAUUUGUACCCUCAAGCUUUGCUUGGUGUUGGGCGUCUUGUCUCUAGCUUUGCUGGAGACUCGCCUUAAAGUAAUUGGCAGCCGGCCUACUGGUUUCGGAGCGCAGCACAAGUCGCACUCUCUAUCAGCAAAGGUCUAGCAUCCAUUAAGCCUUUUUUCAACUUUUGACCUCGGAUCAGGUAGGGAUACCCGCUGAACUUAAGCAUA